rnacentral:rRNA from 1 species
UACGUAGGGGGCAAGCGUUGUCCGGAUUUAUUGGGCGUAAAGAGCGUGUAGGCGGCUAGGUAGGUCCGUUGUGAAAACUCGAGGCUCAACCUCGAGACGUCGAUGGAAACCAUCUAGCUAGAGUCCGGAAGAGGAGAGUGGAAUUCCUGGUGUAGCGGUGAAAUGCGCAGAUAUCGAGAGGAACACCUGCGGCGAAGGCGGGUUGCUGGGCUGACACUGACGCUGAGGCGCGAAAGCUAGGGGAGCGAACGGG